AGGGGGGGACAGCUACAGACUCUGUCCCACCCACAGAAACCGCCCUCUUCAUACAAGGACACAGAUGAACAGCCUGACAGCCUGCCUGGAAAUGUAAAUUCACAAACUGUCAGACAGCUAUAUGCUACUCAUCUGAGGAAGCAAAUAGCCCUGGCAGAUGUCAAGCUCCAGUGUGAGAAGAGAAAGCUGCAGGACAUGGAGCUUGACAGACAAAUUAAAAGGAAAAACCUUAAGGAAACUGGACUUGGAAAUUAAGAAACUACAGAAAGAAGUAAGUGACUUUAAUGCACAUUGUAAGCAUGACUGUGAUGCAAUGUAUUAAUCAAUAUUAUUUCUCUCUUUCUCUCCACAGCUCAAAGCAGACAGUGACUGAUUUUAGUAUUUUUCAUUUAAA